rnacentral:siRNA from 1 species
UGUAGUCCCAUGAUCUUUGAAU